UGGAGCAUGUGGUUUAAUUCGAUGAUACGCGAGAAACCUUACCAGGGCUUGACAUAUACUGGACGACGUUAGAGAUAGCGUUUCUGCUUGCAGUCAGUAUACAGGUGCUGCAUGGCUGUCGUCAGCUCGUGCUGUGAAGUGUUGGGUUAAGUCCCGCAACGAGCGCAACCCCUUUUGUCUGUUGCCAGCAUGUAAUGAUGGGGACUCAGACAAGACUGCCGGUGACAAACCGGAGGAAGGUGGGGGACGACGUCAAGUCAUCAUGGCCCUUAUGUCCUGGGCUACACACGUGCUACAAUGGCAGGUACAGAGCGAUGCGAAACAGCGAUGUGGAGCAAAUCGCAGAAAGCUUGCCUCAGUUCGGAUUGGAGUCUGAAACCCGACUCCAUGAAGGUGGAAUCGCUAGUAAUCGCGCAUCAGCAUGGCGCGGUGAAUACGUUCCCGGGCCUUGUACACACCGCCCGUCACACCACCCGAGUUGGGGGUACCCGAAGUCGUUAGUCUAACCAGCAAUGGGGGACGAUGCCGAAGGUAUGCCUGGUAAGGGGGUGAAGUCGUAACAAGGUAGCCGUACCGGAAGGUGCGGCUGGAUCACCUCCUU
rnacentral:rRNA from 1 species